UCGUCGCAGCCGGAGUAGUACUCGCCGGACUUGGUGGAGACUCAGGAACUAGAGUAGGCAUGCUCGGGGAAGAAGAGCUACCCAUUUCCCCAGCUCCCUCGAAGUGGACGUAGUCGACAGUGAAGUCAUCGUACAUUGGAGGCGAGCUGUCAUCCAUCAUCUUGCCCCACGCCCAACCUCGCCCUUUGUUGAACACAACAUCGCGCGCCGUGCGCACACGCUGUGUCUCCAGGUUGAGGAUGC
rnacentral:lncRNA from 1 species